rnacentral:rRNA from 1 species
GACGAACGCUGGCGGCGUGCCUAAUACAUGCAAGUCGAACGCUGAAGGAGGAGCUUGCUUCUCUGGAUGAGUUGCGAACGGGUGAGUAACGCGUAGGUAACCUGCCUGGUAGCGGGGGAUAACUAUUGGAAACGAUAGCUAAUACCGCAUAAUAUUGACUAUUGCAUGAUAGUCAGUUGAAAGGUGCAACUGCACCACUACCAGAUGGACCUGCGUUGUAUUAGCUAGUUGGUGGGGUAACGGCUCACCAAGGCGACGAUACAUAGCCGACCUGAGAGGGUGAUCGGCCACACUGGGACUGAGACACGGCCCAGACUCCUACGGGAGGCAGCAGUAGGGAAUCUUCGGCAAUGGACGGAAGUCUGACCGAGCAACGCCGCGUGAGUGAAGAAGGUUUUCGGAUCGUAAAGCUCUGUUGUAAGAGAAGAACGAGUGUGAGAGUGGAAAGCUCACACUGUGACGGUAUCUUACCAGAAAGGGACGGCUAACUACGUG